AAACUUUCAACAACGAU
rnacentral:rRNA from 1 species